UACGAGCGGGUAGCUCCCCACCCAUUGGACUGGGUAGUGAGUCGGGUGAAGAGCGGGGUAGCUCUUCACCUGUGAGAUUUGAGCGGGGUAGCUCUUUACCUAUGAGCGGGGUAGCUCCUUACCUAUGAGCGGGGUAGCUCUUUACCUACGAGCGGGGUAGCUCUUGACCUAUGAGUUUGAGUUAGAGUCGGGGCGAAGAGCGGGGUAGCUCUUGCCCUUA
rnacentral:lncRNA from 1 species